rnacentral:tRNA from 1 species
AUAUCAUUAGUAUAAUUUAUUAUUUCACUUUUCCAAAGUGAAGAUCUACUUGGUGUAGCUGAUAUA